CCUAAGCCAGAUGACCUAUUAUCCCAAAAGAAGUCUAAACUCCAUAAGAAACUAAAAGGCAAAGGAUCUCCACUGAAUCCAUAUUCAGAUGAUAGAUCUGUUGGGCCUGAAGAGAUUCCCAGAAAAUCCUUAUUUUCUAA